AUUGGGCCUAAAGCGUCCGUAGCUGGCCGCACAAGUCCGUCGGGAAAUCCGCCCGCUCAACGGGCGGCCGUCCGGCGGAACCUGUGUGGCUUGGGACCGGGAGGCCUGAGGGGUACGAUCGGGGUAGGAGUGAAAUCCUGUAAUCCCGCUCGGACCGCCGAUGGGGAAACCACCUCAGGAGAACGGAUCCGACAGUGAGGGACGAAAGCCAGGGUCUCGAACC
rnacentral:rRNA from 1 species